GGCCCUUAGAAUAAAGAAUAUUAAGGGUCUUGCCUGCCCGGUGAGAUAUUUAACGGCCGCAGUACCCUGACUGUGCAAAGGUAGCAUAAUCACUUGCCUUAUAAUUGAAGGCUAGAAUGAAUGGCUUGACGAAAGCAAUACUGUCUUUAAUACAUUUUCCAUAAUUUAUAUUUUAUGUUAAAAUACAUAAAUAAAAUUGAGGGACGAGGAGACCCUAUCGAGCUUUAAAGAAUAAAUAAACAACAUCAAGAGAUUUUUCUUAAUAACUCUUUUUAGUUGGGGCGACUAUGGAACAAAAAAAACUUCCUUUAUUUAAAUACAAUUAUAAUUUUUAGAUCCAAAGAAUUUAUUUGACAGAAAGAAUAGUUACCGUAGGGAUAACAGCGUAAUUUUCAUUGAGAGUCCAAAUCGAAAUGGAAGAUUGCGACCUCGAUGUUGAAUUAAAAUAUCUAGUGGGUGCAGCCGCUCAUUAAUGUUGGUCUGUUCGACCAUUAAAAUUUU
rnacentral:rRNA from 1 species